rfam:Triticum aestivum genome assembly, contig: Triticum_aestivum_CS42_TGACv1_scaffold_323279_4BL
AUAAUACUCCCUCCGUCCACAAAUACUUGUCGGAGAAAUGGAUGCAUCUAGACGUAUUUGAGUUUUAUUUACAUCCAUUUUUAUCGAUUUCUUCCACAAGUAUUUCUGGAUGGAAGGAGUAGAGA